CGUUUUGGCUUUUUGUCUUUUCAGGUCAGGGCUGCACCUGUGGCAUAUGGAGGUUCCUAGGCGAGGGGUCUAAUCAGAGGUAUUGCUGCCGGCCUACGCCAGAGCCACAGCAACACGAGAUCCUAGUCGCAUCUAUGACCUAGCUCACCGCAACGCCGGAUCCUUAACCCACUGAGUGAGGCCAGGGAUCGAACCCGCAACCUCAUGGUUCCUAGUCCAAUUCAUUGCCACAACGGGAACGCAGAUUAAUGCAAUUCUACACAGAUAAAAAUUUUAAAUAGGCAAGGAAGAAAUUAGGUUCUCAUUGCUCCUGGCAGUUAUGUUCUAUUCAGAUGCCACAAACACCGAAUGAGUGAAUACUGACCAUGGCUCCUAAAGGGAGCACAGGAUGGGGUUCCUACAAGCUUCUGGUCACAAGAUUUUCAUCAAUCAAUCAGUGCCUAGCCUUGUUUUAUUUGUUUCUGGUAUAUAUAUAUAUAUUUGUUUUAUAUGUGUUUCUGGUGUGUGUGUGUGUGUGUCACACCCCUCCUGCCCAGAAGAACACGAGACACCCCAUCGGCACCCCGCUUUUAAAUAGUGAAAUCACCCACAAACAGCGUAAGAAAGCAAAAGGCACUAAACAGACCACGAAGAGGGUGCUUGUUUACAGAAUUAGAGCUAAAGCGAGAAGGCAGGGCCUGGCCGUCUGCGCUGAGAACAUGCCCACUGGGUGACAGACUGUUCACAGCUCUGCAUGUCCCUGAGCAACCACGAAAGCAUCCCAGUACCGACAUGGGAGAUGACAAGUCAGUUUUAGCGAGCGGACUAGUAAGACGGCAGAAUCGAUGCAUUACGUUCUCAUGGCUUAUUUAUGUUAUAACUAGAAGUUUGUGUGCAGCCUAGGGAAUGCAGUCAAUAUUAUUGUCAUAUGGUGACAGACGGUAGCCAGACUUGUUGCGGUGACCAUUUUGAAAUGUGUAUAAAUAUUGAAUCACUAUGACGGUCACCUGAAGCGAAUACGACUGUUUGUGUCAACUAGACUUCAGUUUAAAAAAGACCGGCAGAACGAUCAUCACCACCAAAUCUGAUAGCAAAAUUCAUUGAGUCAUAAAAAAAAAAAGAGUAGCAGAACCUGAGAAAGUACAUUCAACAUUCAAAUAUCUGCGACGUCCCAAAAGAUAGCCCCAUAAUGCUGACUGAUACGCAGGGGGCUCAAAUGCAGAGCAAGGAAAAGCAGAAUCGGAAGCCAUCACCGCCUUGGCCUCCUUUUCCCCAGAGGACGGGGGAGGCUUCCAGUCUGGAGAAGGGUUUGCUUCCGUUGGUCCAUCUGGGCUGUCUUUUCCUUGCCGUUCAAGGACUCCUAGGGAGGUACAAGUCUCAGGGUUUCUCGCUGAUGAAUAAUUCAGAGAAAAGACUGUAUCUUUAUUUUUGUUAUGUGUUUUCAUCCCAGAUUCCCUUACGUCAAGAGAAUGUAGUCUGUUCAUUCACAUCCACUGUCUCAUUCAUGAGGUUAUGUUUAGAUGCCUCAGCAAAUUCUACAAUUCACAUCGUAAAGGAAACCGAAUAUUAAUGAACGAUUGCUGCAUUUUAACUAAAGUGAUGGUGGAUCAAAUCCAAGGAAAUCUAUGCUCGACAGCUCUCGGUACAACAUAGCAGUAAUAUUCUCAGAUUUGCAUAUAGGGGUGUAUCACUUUCAGCCGAGGAGAGCCUCCCGAAACGGAAACCCUGGAAUGCAUGAUUUUGUGACUCUGAUCCUCUGAUUUGAUCUUCAGUUUGACACGGGACCACCGGGGAAGGCCCACCACCUGCCUCACUCUCGCCCCUCUGUUGGGGUCUCGUCCAAUGCCUCCAUCAUGAGCACCUGUCACGGGAGCUCUGAUUCUCCAGAAUGUUCCUUUACUGUGCCGUUGAUUUACACAUACUUGCAGAGGCUCCGUCACCCCCUGAGUGAAAGGCCUCAGGAGUGGACCAGAGCUGACCAGUUGACAAGACCAUGUGUUUAACCUCGAAAAGUGAGAGCAGGGAAAACAAAUUGUAUUUAAAAUUUGCAAUCCUUACUAGAAAUGGAGCUUUUCGGGCUACGGGUCUUUUUAAAACUUUUGGAGCGGCUCUUCACACAAAUUGAAAGCAAUUUGGGCGGGGGGUGAGGGAUUUAAUAAAGCUACCUGAACACACGACUUAGGAACAAAAUGCCACAUUUGAUGACUAAAUUGUUGCUGAGUCUGUCAGUUUUGUGGUUCCCUUUUGCUGGAUGAAACGAAGAGCUGUAUUCCUAGGGCAGAAUUUGUGAUGGAGGCUUAUGCCGCUGCUUCUGAUUGCUGGUGAUGUUUUUGUGGUUUUGCCUUAGAGAUUUCGAGAGCUGCGGUUAAAGAUGAGCAGAUGGGAGCAUCCAAAGGCUCACGUUCCGAGGCCGUGUAAGUCUCCUCACUGCAAAGUCAGGAUGAGGUCGGGAACUCGGAUUUGCAGAGAGCGCUGCUCUCUGCACGCCUGCCCCAAAGUCGGCGUUAACGCUCUCGCGAGAGAAGGCUGGAGAGCCUGUUCUCCUGAUGAGAGAGGAAGGAAGACGGGACUCCAAGCAUCUUAUCUGAAAUCUCCUGGAAAUUAAAGCCACUGGUCUCGGCUACCUGAGAGCCCCCACUUCCUCAGGGUUUUACAUGAAAUAAGACCUGACAGCUUCUAUUGGGCACUGUCACUAAAACAGCAGCUCCUGACUCUGCCCUAUUAUGUGGUCUACAAAUAACACUGAUCAGGGAUUUUGAAGCAAUAACCAGUCUUCAUGAGUCUUCGGAAAAGGCUGGAGGAAGCCCGUUCAGACCUCCUAUUAAAUCUCACAGAGCAAUGACCUUUCCCGUCUUUCAUCUACAGCUGAAGAGCUCCUUUUAAUUUUCCACCACUUUAAAAGUAAUUUUAAAGUCCCAGCUGUGAGGCAUGUUUGUGACUUCUUCAUGGCUAUCGCAAAAUCUCUUGCCACUUAGAAAUACAACUGAGUGCAUUUCUUUUAACCUCAAGCAAGUUAUACUCAUUUUUCCCCCUCUGGCCAACAGGAUGUACUCGCUUUACUUGGAUACACGAUAAUAUACUGCCUACAGGUAUUACAUUAUAUUAUAUAUAAUAAAGAUACACUUUCAAAGCUCCUUUUUUUCAGUUGUAUAAACUGCAUCUUUAUCUUUCCAACUUUUAACUGUUUUUCUUUCGGUUAAACCGGUAAGCUAGUCUGGCAGAGACAUGUGGAAUGGUGAGAGAGAGGGUGGUGCGUGGUGAGGGAGUUUUCUUACAGUCUUCCUCUUGCAAAGUUAGUAUCUUAUUAGUAUUUAAAAUCUAAUACACUCAUGAGUGCGGACAUUGUAUUCCAGAACCUUCACAGCACAAACAUACAAAUACUUGAAUUUUUACAUAUAUUUCAAUUGCUGGCUGCAAAUAGUUCAACAGCCACUGAGGUUGUAUAGCCAUUUGUUAGAACCAUGCAGAGAACAGCACAACCUCUUUUUCUAAGGUCAAGUUGGCAUAACUCACUACACACCAUCAACCUACCAGGCCUCAUGCGCCUCUACUGUAUUAAUGCACUUGAACAUGAAUCUCACGGAACAGAAAACUGGGUAGAGCACUAUUGGUAGCGGGGUUGUUGUUGUUUUUUGUCUUUCUUUUUUUUCUUAUUGUGAAACUAUCCUGAAAAUAAUCCAUUGAUAAACAGGUUUACAUUUUUUCCCAACAGCCUCAUUCAAGCAAGACUCUUCUGAAUGGAAACCAUGUUAGGUGUAUAAUUGAGCUUGAUUUGUCUCCCAGUCAUUUUCUGUCCCCUUAUUCUGUUUGACAAAGACAACAGAAUCCACAUACGAAAGUCAGAAUACCCUUUGGAAUGUCUGUUUCUAAUGCAUAUUAAUAUCGUCAAGCACAAUGAUCAACGAAAGGAAACCAGUG
rnacentral:lncRNA from 1 species